AUUGAACGCUGGCGGCAUGCCUAACACAUGCAAGUCGAACGGCAGCACAGAUAUAGUUUACUAUAUUGGGUGGCGAGUGGCGGACGGGUGAGUAACGCGUGGGUAUAUAACCUAAAGACGGGGACAACUUGCGGAAACGCGAGCUAAUACCGGAUAAGCUCUGAGGAGAAAAGCUGGGGAUCUGGCGACAGACCUGGCGCUUUAGGAGUAACCUGCGUCCAAUUAGCUAGUUGGUAGGGUAAAGGCCUACCAAGGCGACGAUUGGUAGCUGGUCUGAGAGGACGGACAGCCACACUGGGACUGAGACACGGCCCAGACUCCUACGGGAGGCAGCAGUGGGGAAUAUUGGACAAUGGGGGGAACCCGUGAUCCAGCAAUGCCGCGUGUGUGAAGAAGGCCUGCGGGUUGGUUAAAGACACUUUCUAGUAGGG
rnacentral:rRNA from 1 species